rnacentral:sRNA from 1 species
GUCAACAACCCGUCGCUAAGUCUAAGUGUUGUAGCAAGAGCUUAAAAAAGUCUGUGUUGACCGGGCUAGGUUUUGCUAGCAGCCGUUAUCGAGAAGUAGAGACGCGCCACGGCGCGUCUGUACGUACCUGGGAAUGCGCUGGAAUUGACCAGUUUAGCGGUAGUUCCAAUCGGCGGAAACUGAACAGUUAAACUAAACAGGUAAAGAGCGGGUUAAGAAGCAUGAUAUUGGGAAAGUAGCGCUCGGUAACAACUUCAAGGCUCACUUUCACCGGAAUAAUUCG